CACGAACUGGAGUAACCAAGUUGGCUAUACCCGCCGAAGAUGACCCCGAAUCCAUUCUCCCCCAAAUCAACAGGACUGCGGGCUAGACCUAGUCCAGGCCUGAAUCAGGGAAGUGUGUUCAUCCAAAUCCAAACUGGCCAAUUCUCUUGGAGACCUACUGGAAAAGAGCAGCAGAGCCUAGGUUUCCUGAGACCUAUCUGCUGAUAUGGAUCCAUGAUUAUUGCUGACUACUACUGAUUCAGUUGAAGUGCGCUGGUUUUAUAAGAGGAUCUGAAAUCUGUAAUACUUCCAACACAGAAGAGGUUACUCUGACUUAACAUGUAAUUGAAAGAUUCAAUAUGUUCCUUGGUUUUCCUUAGGACAAAAACCAAGAUUCACUAGUCUAUCCUGUGAGCUACACAUAGAAGGUGUUAGUAAUUAUCUUAUCUUGGAAGACUGGUUUUCCAAUCAACCUUUGCCUAUAUAAUCUUAUUCCAGUGGCUCUCUCUACUCUUGUCAAUUAUGUCUAUUUCCUUUGGUACCAGCCUGUCCAAUCCUUCACUAAGCUACAUGGAAAAGUAUAGUUUCAAAAUCAGAGUUGGAAGAUAAUAAAUGAUGAUCUACUCCAACUAUUUAGAUUGGAGGUGAUUGUUAGGAUUGUUCUGGCUACCACAAUGGACUUAAGUACCUAGAUUGGAAUCCUGCCUAGGACACUAGAUAGCUUUGGUCAUAGGCAAACAUAACCUUAAAGUAACCUGAGUUUCCUUAUCUACAUACAGGCUAAAGUAUGAAAAACAACUUUGUGUAUUUUAUAUAAAUAUGAAUUAUGCAGCUUCUAUUUGAAAUCAUGAGGUCACAGCAUUACAAGUUUUGUUCAAAGUCCUUUCUUGUCUAACACUUUGUAACUUCUGCCUAUGCCCAUUCUAAUGUAAUCCCUCUUCUGCCAUCCUUCCCACUCCUCCCAUCAAUUUUCUCCAGUUAAUAUUUGUCAACUUUUUGUGUCCUGCCAAACCUUCAACAGCUACUCACUAUCUAUGAGAUAGAUUUUCAGCUCCACUCCAAGAUAUGUAGAGCCCACCUCCUAGAUAGACCUGCUAUUGUCCAUCUCAUCUCAGACCACUGCCCUUUAUACAAGCCAGAACACACUAUAAACUUGAAGUCCUUUGAUGCUUAAAUUACAUUUGAGUUAUACAUAGUUAUACAACUUUCAACAUUUAUAGCCAAUCAGAGACAAGUAUCUAUUUUCCUAAUCUAUAAAGUGGGAAGGGUACUUGUGCUAAUUAGCUUCGUAUCUCUGUAAGGAAAUCUAUACACCAAUAAAACUGGUCCUAUAUUUUUGCCCUUCAGAGAAAAAUAAAUUUAUUCUGAAAAUCCAAGGCUCAGGGCAGCUAGGUGGUGCAGUGGAUAGAACACCAGCCUAUCUGGUUCAAAAUCUGACCUCAGACACUUAAUACUCCCUAGCUGUGUGACCCUGGGCAAGUCACUUAACCCCAAUUGCCUCAGCAAAAAUAAAUAGAUCCAAGGCUCAGUUAAAGCACUCCUCAUCACACCAACCCCAUAUCCCUCAAAAGUCAUUUUAAGACUUGAUGAUUCUGAGGACACCAUCCCUGACAGCUAAUCCACCCCAACUGACCUGACAUUCAGCCAUCUGAAUUUGACAAGUAUAAAAGGUUUCAUGUUACCUUUUAAGACAGUUCACAUGUUACCUCUUCUAUGAAGUCCAUCAGUGGUUCCUUUAGCUAGAAGUCAUCUCUCCCAGGAAUAGAACUGAGACGGUUCUAUUCAAAAGACUGAUGGAUUGAUUACUUAUUGAAGUUAUUUCUAUCCAUCUAUCUAUUCAGCCUACUCAUUUAUUCCCUUCCCUCCCCCCAGCAUCUAUGGGCAGGAGCUCACACAUAACUAAGUACUUGACUAGUAUUUACACUUGAAGGGUCUCUUCAGGGGGUUAGUUAAUAUGGCUUUUUUACAAUCAGGAGUGAAAUCAAAAAAGAUUAAGGUAUGUGCUCAUGUGAGUCACACAGCUAAGAGGCAGAGCUUGAACUCUAGUCUCAUGAUCCCAAGUUCAAUGCUUUCAUUGAAGACUGCAACAGAAUGGUCAGUGGACUCCUGGAAAGUCAAACUUAGCUCCAAAGAAAAGAUCUGAGAAUGUAUCACUUUUUUUAGGGAGUAGGAGGGAACUAUGGGUGUGUAAUUCUACAUUUAAUGGCAAACUUGGCUCAUAAAUUUAAUUUUUCUAAGUGCUGGAUGAUUUGGUUUUUUAACCCUUUAUUUUAAAAGUAUGUAAAGUAUAAACUAGGAAAUGAGAGGUCAGGGAUCCUUACAGGAUCAUAACUAGCCUGCUAAGGUGGACCAGUGUUUCCCUCACCCAAAAGGUCCCUGGCUCCAUAGGGCCAGAGAUUAUCUACUCUUGGAUGCAUGACGAGAAAAAGGAAUGGUCCAGUCAUCUCUGCCUGCUUCCAGUUCUCAGAUCCAGAGCCAAAAGCCUAGCAUUAUACCAUUUUGAAAUGGGGCUAUUAAAUGGCCAAAAUUAAAAAGAGAAGCAGGAAUAAAAAUGAAAAUUUCAUAAUAGAAGAAAACUCUGGGGGCCAUCUUGAAGAGACAGAACUAUACUAUGUUCUGUCCAUCUUUCUACCUUGACAACCACUCCGUAGAUACCUAUGGAUGCAAGUAUAUAUUCCAAGACCAGUUAGUUUUCACCUAAUCCCAGAGCACACUGAUCGAUUUUUUCAAAAUAUUCCAUGGAAUAAAAGUUCCGAGUCACAUCCCACUUUCUCCAAACCUCUCCAGUUCAUGGAAUUCUUUUCCUACUUCCUGAUUUUCCAAAAGCAUUUCAUGUACAUACUAAUCAUCUGUCAAGCAAAAUCAUAGCAGGGAAUGUGGCACUUAUCACAUCAGAACAGUUUGAGUACAUAGCCAUAGUAACUGACACUUAGUAUUUGAUGAACUGACUUAAACAUAUACAAAGAUUCUGAGUAUUCUUUCAAUAAACAUUGUUAAUGGCCCAAACAGUUAAAUUGGCCAGCAUAAGAAGGUACCUUAGAAAACUAAAUUUUUUUCCCCCUUAAAGAAUUUGCUCUACAUAAAUUACCUUAAGUCCAGCCACACAAAAAUCAGUGCGCUCUCUCAGUUUUCGUGCUUUAAAGUGAUCCUAACCCAUGUCCCCUUUGAAACUGUCCAAAGCCAUAAAAGUUUGCAAGUUUGUGGCUCGCAACCUCAGAGGGCCUAAUCUGUGGACAUUCCAAUCUGGUGCCUGAGCCACUAGUGAGUGACUUUACUCAAGUUCAAAGAGGAACUCCUCCUCAACAAACAAAAUCCAUGCUGGUUAUGCCAGUAUUACUAACUUCCAGAAUCAUGUCAACACAAUAUAGACUUUUAAUUACGCUGCCAAGAAAGUUACAUUUCAAGGGCCGUGUGCCCUGCGGAGAUCAGUAGGAAGUCUGUGACUGUUGUUGGCGGUAGCCUCCUCGACGCAUGUAGCCUCCCUCAUUUUUUCGGUAGCCAUCUUUCUGAUCU